rnacentral:rRNA from 1 species
UACGUAGGAAGCAAGCGUUGUCCGGAAUCACUGGGCGUAAAGAGCUCGUAGGCGGUUUGUCGCGUCUGCUGUGAAAACUGGGGGCUCAACCCCCAGCCUGCAGUGGGUACGGGCAGACUAGAGUGGCGGUAGGGGAGAUUGGAAUUCCUGGUGUAGCGGUGGAAUGCGCAGAUAUCAGGAGGAACACCGAUGGCGAAGGCAGAUCUCUGGGCCGUAACUGACGCUGAGGAGCGAAAGCAUGGGGAGCGAACAGG